UGUAGUCAUAUGCUUGUCUCAAAGAUUAAGCCAUGCAUGUCUAAGUAUAAACAACUUUAUACUGUAAAACUGCGAACGGCUCAUUACAUCAGCAAUAAUUUAUUUGAUGAUUUCUUACUACAUGGAUAACUGUAGUAAUUCUAGAGCUAAUACAUGCGCAAAGUCCUGACUCGCGAGGGGAGGGAUGUAUUUAUUAGAUACAAAACCAAUGCGGGUUCUGCUCGCCAUUGUGUUGAAUCAUAGUAACUUAUCGGACGCCAUAGCCUUGUGCUGGGCGUAGAUCAUUCAAAUUUCUGCCCUAUCAGCUUUCGACGGUAGUGUAGUGGACUACCGUGGCGUUAACGGGUAACGGGGA
rnacentral:rRNA from 1 species